CAAGGGAAUAAAGUUGUAGCUCCAUUAUUGUUGGAUGAGGAAAUAGCAGCAGCUGGAUAUAUCCUUUGAAGAAUGCUUGCUACUCUUUUUUGCUCUCCAAUAUGUCAAGCAUGAGUCUUCUUUCCGUCUAGGGGCAAUCUUGGAAAGAUGGACAAUAUAUGUAUAGAGGGACGUUGCAAGUUGAAAUAUGAGGUGAUUCAAAGUUUAUUUAAAUUUUAAAGAAAGCUUUAUUUGUCAAUGAGAUAUGGUUUACAAAUGUUAAUUUUCAUUCUCGUUUAUACAAACGUAUAGUAAGUAAAUUAUCAUGUCCCCUCCUAUAUGUUUUCACUUAUUGAUGGUGAUAUAUGUGAAGGAACUACGCUAUGUUAUUAUUUUGCAGAGAUGGAUCCAGAAUUUAAAUUA